ACGAACGCUGGCGGCGUGGAUUAGGCAUGCAAGUCGAACGGAACUUCUAGCUUUUUCGGAAGUUUAGUGGCGAAAGGGUGAGUAACACGUGGGUUACCUGCCCUAGGGUUCGGGAUAACCUGUCGAAAGACGGGCUAAUACCGGAUACGUCCUGCACUUUUCGAAGUGCAGGGGAAAGAUGGGGAUCCGUAAGGACCUAUCACCCUUGGAUGGGCCCGCGGCCUAUCAGCUAGUUGGUGAGGUAAUGGCUCACCAAGGCUAAGACGGGUAGCUGGUCUGAGAGGAUGGUCAGCCACACUGGAACUGAGACACUGUCCAGACACCUACGGGUGGCUGCAGUCGAGAAUCUUUCGCAAUGGGGGAAACCCUGACGACGCGACGCCGCGUGGAGGAUGAAGGCCUUCGGGUUGUAAAGCUCUUUUACCAGGGAUGAUAAUGGCAGUACCUGGAGAAUAAGCUCCGGCUAACUCCGU
rnacentral:rRNA from 1 species